AAUGGACCUUACAUUUCUAAGGGGGAGUGUCCAGAAAUAAGCGCCACACCUGUGUGGCUCCCAGUGGGCCAGAGCGCCUGGGGGGCCUCCCAGGGAAACUCGGCCCCCGGGGGGCCUCCCCAGGGACUGUGCAACCCGGAGGACUUCCCAGGAGAUGGGAGCACCUGGGGACUUCGCAGGGGACCACACCCCUGGGGGGCCUCCCAGGGGACCGCAGAGCCUGGGGGGCCUCCGAGGGGAAGGGGUCUCCUGGGGACUUCGCAGAAGACCACAGAGCCUGGGGACUUCAGAGGGGACAACACCCUCUGGGAGACCUCUCAGGGGACCUCAGCACCUGGGGGACCCCCAGGGGACGAUUCCCAGCACGCCGACUCGAAUCACUUUCAGUGGCCAGCAAGGCUUCCUGAGAACCGACGAGACGUCCCGGGCUCCUGGGAGUUCACGGCUGGCCCGGCCUGGAGCGGACGAAGCGCCCGGACAGCGGCGCCGGACUCGCGUCCUGGUUCCAGCGGACGUGCCCUUCACAGAAGGCCCAGCGCCCUGGGUGCAGGGUGCGGGGUGCACCCUGCAUGUGGAACGCAGCUGCAUUUAUAAAGCAAUAAACGUUCUUCACAGGUUUAGGAC